rnacentral:tRNA from 1 species
AUUUAAAUAGCUUAAUUAAAAGCGUAGUAUUGAAGAUACUAAUAUAAGAUUUUAUUCUUUUUAAAUA